GCUCCCAUGGCGUAGUGGUCACUGCGCUCGCCUUGCACGCGGGAGACCCGGGAUCGAUUCCCGGCGGGGUCA
rfam:Asian citrus Psyllid, Diaphorina citri - Florida Strain, whole genome shotgun sequence.